rnacentral:rRNA from 1 species
GAUGAACGCUGGCGGCGUGCCUAAUACAUGCAAGUCGAGCGAACGGACGAGAAGCUUGCUUCUCUGAUGUUAGCGGCGGACGGGUGAGUAACACGUGGAUAACCUACCUAUAAGACUGGGAUAACUUCGGGAAACCGGAGCUAAUACCGGAUAAUAUUUUGAACCGCAUGGUUCAAAAGUGAAAGACGGUCUUGCUGUCACUUAUAGAUGGAUCCGCGCUGCAUUAGCUAGUUGGUAAGGUAACGGCUUACCAAGGCAACGAUGCAUAGCCGACCUGAGAGGGUGAUCGGCCACACUGGAACUGAGACACGGUCCAGACUCCUACGGGAGGCAGCAGUAGGGAAUCUUCCGCAAUGGGCGAAAGCCUGACGGAGCAACGCCGCGUGAGUGAUGAAGGUCUUCGGAUCGUAAAACUCUGUUAUUAGGGAAGAACAUAUGUGUAAGUAACUGUGCACAUCUUGACGGUACCUAAUCAGAAAGCCACGGCUAACUACGUGCCAGCAGCCGCGGUAAUACGUAGGUGGCAAGCGUUAUCCGGAAUUAUUGGGCGUAAAGCGCGCGUAGGCGGUUUUUUAAGUCUGAUGUGAAAGCCCACGGCUCAACCGUGGAGGGUCAUUGGAAACUGGAAAACUUGAGUGCAGAAGAGGAAAGUGGAAUUCCAUGUGUAGCGGUGAAAUGCGCAGAGAUAUGGAGGAACACCAGUGGCGAAGGCGACUUUCUGGUCUGUAACUGACGCUGAUGUGCGAAAGCGUGGGGAUCAAACAGGAUUAGAUACCCUGGUAGUCCACGCCGUAAACGAUGAGUGCUAAGUGUUAGGGGGUUUCCGCCCCUUAGUGCUGCAGCUAACGCAUUAAGCACUCCGCCUGGGGAGUACGACCGCAGGGUUGAAACUCAAAGGAAUUGACGGGGACCCGCACAAGCGGUGGAGCAUGUGGUUUAAUUCGAAGCAACGCGAAGAACCUUACCAAAUCUUGACAUCCUUUGACAACUCUAGAGAUAGAGCCUUCCCCUUCGGGGGACAAAGUGACAGGUGGUGCAUGGUUGUCGUCAGCUCGUGUCGUGAGAUGUUGGGUUAAGUCCCGCAACGAGCGCAACCCUUAAGCUUAGUUGCCAUCAUUAAGUUGGGCACUCUAAGUUGACUGCCGGUGACAAACCGGAGGAAGGUGGGGAUGACGUCAAAUCAUCAUGCCCCUUAUGAUUUGGGCUACACACGUGCUACAAUGGACAAUACAAAGGGCAGCGAAACCGCGAGGUCAAGCAAAUCCCAUAAAGUUGUUCUCAGUUCGGAUUGUAGUCUGCAACUCGACUACAUGAAGCUGGAAUCGCUAGUAAUCGUAGAUCAGCAUGCUACGGUGAAUACGUUCCCGGGUCU